AUGUUAACACGCAUCUCGUCUAAUAUCUCUCGUGAAUAGUUUUAAUUCGUUGAAAAGAUUUUGUUCUCUCAAUUUAACAUUUAAUUAAAUAGAUUUUAUUAAUUAUUGGAUGGAUCUUCGUCGACAACAAUCUAAACACGAUGGAUCAUGGAUAGAUACAAUUUUGUAUAAAAUCGAGGUAACGAUUGAACGAAAGACAUUACCAUUUUCUUGUUGAAUAAUUCGAUAAGAAAGUUUGCCAAGAAGAAACGAGUGACAUCGGGAGGAAGAAUGAUCUACAGAAGCAAGAUGUGGUGCAGCCGCUACGUGCAACGUGAACACGCGAAUAUGGACUCACCGUUCGAUGCCAGUCAAUCUUGGAUGUCUGUACUUUCGAGAUAGAAGUAAACCACCGCCCCAAGCUGCCUGUAAAAAUAAAUAAAGGAAAAGUUGUGAAGGAAACAAAAAGACAAAAAAAGAAAAGGAAAAUGUAUUUUUUUUCUUUUUUUUCUUUUUUUUUUUUUUUUCGAAAAUAGAUAUCUCAUAGUGAGUGAGACCUGGGGAUAUAUUCACGUUUAAAUGGCCAUUUAAAUACUGACUUAUAAAUCCGACGUUUUCCCGGCUUUCCUUGCGAGCAAUUUGAUUUGAAUUCAACAAGGGUGACUCUAUUCGACAGAUUCUCCGUUUCUCACAUUUAUUAUUAACGUUAAGGCUCUUUCGUAACUUGGCAUUUAGGUAUUAUCUCGUGCGAAUUAUCCUGAAUAAUUCGUAAUUGAUCGACAGACAGACAAAUAGAUAGAUAGAUAGAUAGAUAGAUAGAUAGAUAGAUAGGUAGAUUAAAAUUUUACUCACGUCUACGUGAAGCCAAAGCUUGUAUUUCUUGCAAAUAUCAGCUAUCUCUGGUAUUGAAUCGAAUGCGCCGAUCACGGUUGUCCCUGCUGUUGCAUUUACGAAGAAUGGUAUGUGACCUUUGGCCUUGCGUUCUAGGAUAAGUUCUUCCAAUUUCGAUGGUAUUAUUCGACCACGUUCAUCGCUCGGUACCAUAACGCAAUUGUCGGUACCCAAGCCGCAAACGGCAGCGCACGAUUUCACGGAAUAAUGGCACUGAUUUCAACAAGAUACAUACAUGGUACAUAUAAAUAGGGUAUUAAAAGAUUCUAUAAAGAAGAAAAAGAAAAAGAAAAAAAAAAGAAAGAAAGAAAGGAGAAAGAAUAUGACCCAAUGAUCAUACCUGAUCGGACGUAAACAUAACGAGUUGGCCUCCUAUCGAUGAAAGACCACGUUCUUUGUACGAAGGAAACAUUUUAUGUCUUGCCGCUAGGAACGCAUAUAAAUUGCUGAUGGAUCCACCUGGUGCUAGGAUCGAAUCGCCACAAUUCCAACCGAUCAAUUCCCUCAUCUUUUGAAGUACAACAUUUUCCAUUAGUAUGAAAACAGGAGCGAUCUCGUAAGUGAACAUGUUUGUAUUCGCCGUCGCCGUCAACCAUUCGCCGGCCAUCGACACCAGAUCAAGACCACAGGACAGUUGAUUGAAGAAAUGUGGAUGUCCUUGUGUGAUGAAAAUAAAGAAGAAAAAAAAAGAACACAAGAAAAAAAUAAUACACACACACACACACAUAUAUAUAUAUAUAUAUAUAUAUAUAUAU